AAGGGAAGCGCCUCCUCUGGCUCAUGCUGGUGGGAGAAAAUGAACCAGCCCUGCUUUCUCUCCCUGGUUCAAUUCCCAGCAAAGGAAAAACAAUGUAAUUCAUGAUGAUGAUGACAAUGACAAUGACGACAACAACAAUAACCAACCUUUAACACAUCCUUAUAAUGUGCCAGACCCUGCGGAUCACUGUGAAAAGAACAUGAGAUGCCCUUUGCAGGGACAUGGAUGGAGCUGGAAGCCAUUAUCUUCAGCAAACUAACACAGGAACAGAAAACCAAAUACUGCAUGUUCUCACUUAUAAGUGGGAGCUGAACCAUGAGAACAUGGACACAGGGAGGGGAACAACGCACACUGGGGCCUGUGGAGGGCAGGCGGGGGGAGGGAGAGCAUCAGGAUAAAUAGCUAAUGCAUGCUGGGCUUAAUACCUAGGUGAUGGAUUGAUAGGUGCAGCAAACCACCAUGGCACACAUUUACCUAUGGAGCAAACCUGCACCUCCUGCACAUUUACCCCAGAACUUAAAAUAAAAUAAAA
rnacentral:lncRNA from 10 species